UACGUAGGCAGCGAGCGUUGUUCGGAGUUACUGGGCGUAAAGGGUGUGUAGGCGGUCCCUUAAGUUUGGUGUGAAAUCUCCCGGCUCAACUGGGAGGGUGCGCCGGAUACUGAGGGGCUAGAGUGCGGGAAGGGAAAGUGGAAUUCCUGGUGUAGCGGUGAAAUGCGUAGAUAUCAGGAGGAACACCGGUGGUGCAAACGGCUUUCUGGACCGUAACUGACGCUGGAGACACGAAAGCGUGGGGAGCAAACAGG
rnacentral:rRNA from 1 species